UGAGUAACGCGUGGGUAACCUGCCCUUAAGUCUGGGAUACCAUUUGGAAACAGAUGCUAAUACCGGAUAAAAGCUACUUUCGCAUGAAAGAAGUUUAAAAGGCGGCGUAAGCUGUCGCUAAAGGAUGGACCUGCGAUGCAUUAGCUAGUUGGUAAGGUAACGGCCUACCAAGGCGAUGAUGCAUAGCCGAGUUGAGAGACUGAUCGGCCACAUUGGGACUGAGACACGGCCCAAACUCCUACGGGAGGCAGCAGGC
rnacentral:rRNA from 1 species